rnacentral:lncRNA from 1 species
GCAUUAACCUGCAGAAGGAAUCUUGGCAGCAGGUGAUGCAUUUCAGCCAGGCAGGUGUAUAUUUUAUUUAUGAACUGGUAGAAGUGUGCAGAUACAUGAGAAGAGGAAUGUAUAGAAAAUGCAUCCUUAAACACACUCCACUGUGAAGACAGAUGGGGAAAAGUUGAAGACCUGUGCAUUUUCUAAUUUACCAUGCCACCACCAAAGAGAAGGGGAACCUCAUGCUAAAACUCUGGGGUCCUGAUUCCUUCUCUUUUGUCCCCCAGCAGGGGAAAUAUUAACACACCAGGAUCCUGGUUCAGUUAAGACAAUCUAUGCUUCAGCCAGAAGUACCCUGGCUGGAGGCACAGGAUGAUAAAAGGUCUCGCAUGUGCACUUGACCCAAAAUCAUAAGGGUCUUGUAGUUUGGAAGAUGUAUCAGAGGGGACAAAUUUAUCUUCAUAGUGUCUAUUAGGUAUGAGCCCAUCUUACACAGGGUACAUGCCAGAGACAUAGAAAAAGAGUCUAAGAAGUGACCUUCAAAAUCACCAAGCCCAUAUACCUAGUUUUACAGCUCCAGGAUAUUCCUAACCACAGGGUCAGUUCAGUGGACACAGAAGAGCAGGGGACCUUGGUGUGGUCAAGAACAUGGCAGGUUCUGCUGAAAGUGGGCUACGUUAGAUUCGGGUCUCAGAUAUAUGAACCGAGGAACAUUUCCUAAAUGUUCUGACUCUUGCUUCGCUCAUUUGAACAUUGGCUACAAUACCAUAAGUUCACAAACUAUUUUCUGCAAAGUUAAUGUGUUUCAUGAUACAUUUUCAUGGUAAGUCUGACAAGAACUGAGCUAAUUUGGAGGCAAAAGCUCCGUAAAGUAAGAGGAAGCUGAAUGUUACCUCUCCCUAUCCCUCGGCAGCCAAGGGCCAAGCUCACAGGAGCUCACUACAGAAUUACACUGUGACAUUUCCUGGCUCUUUUCUGUCCCAUUUUAAACUAGAAAGGAGACAUCAGAAUAGGAGAAGAUACCUGGUCCAGUGACGAAUCCCUAUCUUCCUAACAUUUGGGGAGGGUGAGACAAGAGAAUUGCCACAAGGUCCCAAGUCAAUCUGGGCCUGAGAGUGAAUUCCAGGAUAGUUUAGGCUACACAUCAAGAAGAAGGAGGAAGAAGAGAAGGUAUUCCCCUGGAAUCUUAGGAGAAUCCCAUUAUUCUAUAACACAGAAUUUAAAGAAUGCCAUUUCAAAAGAAAACAAUUAAGUGGCCCUUCAACAAACCCAUAAGCCACGUUUUGCUCAGUGAGUGCUGGAUUCUAACUGCCAUAGCCAAGACCAUCCCUACACAUUGGGACAGUGAUAAUCAGAGUAUGCAGUGGGCCCUGCUCAGAAUAAGACUACCACCUAGUCCUCUGCCACUCAGUAGUUUUCCUUGAAGGUCGGGAUGGUUUUAUCCACUAGGAACCAUCUGAGGCAAGUGCCCAUGGCUACAGCCAAGUCUCAUCAGUGUGGCACUUUGGUGUCAGAGACUGACAGCUGAAGGGCUAUAGGAGUAGACACUGGGAUGCUAAGAUGACAAAAAGCUGGGUUUGGUGGUUGUUUAUGGGAUGGAUCCCCAGGUGGGGCAGUUUCUGGAUGAUCAUACCUUCAGUCUCUGCUCCGAACUUUGUCUCUGUAACUCCUUCCAUGGGUAUUUUGUUCCCCCUUCUAAGAAGUAACAGAGUAUCCACACUUUGGUAUUUCUUCUUCUUGAGUUUCAUAUGUUUUGAAAAUUGUAUCUUGGGUAUUCUGAGCUGCUGGGCUAAUAUCCACUAAUCGGUGAGUACAUAUCAUGUGUGUUCUUUUGUGAUCGGGUUACCUCACUCAAGAUGAUAUCCUCCAGAUCCAUCCACUUGUCUAAGAAUUUCAUGAAUUCAUUGUUUUUAAUAGCUGUGUAGUACUCCAUUGUGUAAAUGUGCCACAUUUUCUGUAUCCAUUCUUCAGUUGAGGGACAUCUGGAUUCUUUACAGCUCCUGACUAUUAUUUAUAAAUAAGGUUGCUAUGAACAUAGUGGAGCACUAUUGCAGAUGCCAGCAAGAUUUUUGGUGAUAGGAGCCUGAUAUAGCUGUCUCCUGGGAGGCUCUGCCAGUGCCUGGCAAAUACAGAAGUGGAUGCUCACAGUCAUCAUUGGACAGAGCACAGGGUCCCCAAUGAAGGAGCUAGAGAAAGUACCCAAAGAGCUAAAGGGGUUUGCAGCCCCCUAGGAGGACCAACAAUAUAAACUAGCCAGUACCCCCAAGAGCUCCCUGGGACUAAACCACCAAUCAAAGAAAACACACAGAGGGACUCGUGGCUCUAGCUUCAUAUGUAGCAGAGGAUUGCCUAGUCAGUCAUCAAUGGGAGGAGAGGCCCUAAGUCUUGUGAAGGUUCUAUUCCCCAGUAUAGGGGAAUGCCAAAGCCAGGAAGUGGGAGUGGGUGGGUUGGAGAGCAGUGGGAGGGAGGAGGGGAUAGGGGAUUUUCGGAGAGGAAACUAGGAAAGGGGAUAACAUUUGAAAUGUAAAUAAAGAAAAUAUCUAAUUUUUAAAAAAUGACGACAAGCUGAUGCUCACAGGAAAGGUAAGGGACCUAGCCUUAUUAAUAACCUUAUUGUGCUUAGGUCAUUCUCAGGCAAGUCAGAAUCCUUUGUCCUAUGCCACCUAUAGUGCUGGCUUUCCAGACGCCAUGACCUCCUCAACCUCAAGCUCUCUGUCUUCUGUCAAAGGCAGACUUCCAGCCGACAUGAAGCAAGACUCUUUUGAGCCUUGGCUGAGUCCUGGGCAAGGCACUAAGCAGAUGAAUAAAGCAUACCUCUGCCUAUGACAGAUGUAAGGCUUUCAGCUACCCCCAGGCAUCUGAGCCACAGCAUUGGAUUGAUUCUCAAAGAAGGUGCUGUCAAUCACAAACCUGGGUGACAGAGAAGACUGGGAGUAGGGAACAGGCCAGGGUAAUUUCAAUCUGAAAAAAGCAUUGCUUAGAAAUAGUCUGAAUCCACGUGGUUUAUUUGGGUUCCUGAGCUCAUCUGUCAUGUAGCAUCAGUUAUCCAAGCUGCUGGUCCUAAAACACACUUUGGGAUCUGGCCCUCUGCUUCAUCUCUACAAGACGCUCCUUGAUAUUCAGAAGGUUGGUGCUGUUAGCAAGGCUAUCCAGUUCGCCCAUGUGGGAUGGCUGAUGGAGAGCAGGAAAAGCUUAGCUCCAUGGGGUAUCCAAGCCCACUGGCAGUGUGCAGAGGCAGGGCUUCCCUGGGUCCUGGAACCUGGGACCAAAUGGACAAGCUGCCAUUUGUUGCCAUCAUGUGCUUCCCUUAUACACUACAUUUCUGUUGGGGCUCAGGAAUCACCUCACACACCACACAAACUCGGGGUACAGAUUCUGUAAUUGAACCAUAACCCUGAGUUAAGGUUCUACAGGGUUUUGAAGUCCAAAAUUCACAAACAUCUGUGCCAGGUUAUUUCACCAAUCAGGAUAGAGGGAUAAGGAAUUUCCUUAAGAGUAUGUCUUUGUUGUACACUGAUCCUGCUCCCAUUGCUUGGGGUAUUCAACUGUGGCAGGGGACUUGCCUUGUCUAACAUUCAUGUCUUAACUUGACUACUAGGAUGGGCCUUAUCUAACAUUCAUGUCUUAACUUGCCAGCCAGGAUGUCAGUUACCCAUGCCCAUGUCCAUAACAGAAAGAGUUCUGCCAAGUAGGAUGUCAGUUCCCUAGAAGAUCGUGGGAACUAAAUUUUGCUUGCUUGCUAAUCAAAAUGGAAUUUUUAUUCCAAGUGGUUUCUUAUAUUGGUGCAGGUGUCUCUCUUAUGUUGGGGUCCAUCCCAUGGGCAGCUUAUGAAGGCAAAUAUCAUAAAAGCUUAUACAUAGGUAUAGGAAUUGCUAUUGGGUGGCUGUUUGGAGUUCAAGCUCAUUGUGGGUAACUAUACAAUCAGUUCUACUGAUUUCUAUUGUGAUUGGUUUCCAAGGGAGCAGAACAUAACAGACUCAAUCUUGGCAUUAGAAAGUUUCCUAGGAGCAGCAGAAACAAAGGAGAAAGUUUCCUUAUAGUGGCAAGCUAGCCAAGUAACUGUUACCUAGGCCUUAACAUUUUAUCUAGGCUUAAAUAUUUUACCUAGGCUCUAGCAUUCCCAAAUCUGUACUGAACACCUACUGUGGAAGUCAACUAUAUUGCAGAACCAGGCAUUACCAAGCACCAGUCUCUGAGAUACUCCUCUUGCCCCUCCUUUCCCUGGCCAUUAUGUCCUCAGUUAUCCAGAACUCAACUCAAAAGUUAGUUUCCAUACCCAGGUAGAAGAAACAGCAGCUACAAAACAAAGCUCAGCUUCCAGAAGGAGACUGGUCUCCGGGACCAUCUGCAUUACACCUUUUCUAAGGACCAGAGGAGCCUUCAAUGUUGAUUUUCCUGUAAUCAGGGAAGCCCUGUGAUUCCCAUCAGCUUUACAGAAGACUUCCUCUGGCUCUAAGAAGAAGGAUAGCAAAGAUCUGAGCCAAUCAUCACUGCCUAGAGACAUGAACGGGCAUCAUUACAACUCUGAAGAGAGGUGCCAACAAGCUGGGUGUGGGAAUUAGUUAUAGGCUGGAGAGGAAGGAAGAAUAAAUGAGUGUCUGGAGGACAGACACAUGAUUGCAAGGAUACUAGGAAUGUCUUAGGAAUGUGGACCAGACAGAACCUGGAGGUUGAUUUGACAUAGUGGAGAAAAGGGAAUGAAGACUUGUAGGUUAAGCCCAUGUUUGAACAUGAAGCAAGAGGCCCUUUCAAUGAGACACAGAGCACAAAGGAAGAAAAGGGCUCAGGGAAAUGAGAGAUGCUACACAAAGUGUGGGUCCGGGUAAGUGUGGAAAUGCCUUGCAGUGUCUCUGAGAGUCCUUUGCUAUUUCCAAAGCUUCAUUGCCGAAUGGGUAAAGACAAUGGGACAUUUGGGGGAAG